rnacentral:rRNA from 1 species
UGAGUGCGAGCUGCUACGGCAGCGAAGUUGGUGAUGUCAUGCUUCCAAGAAAAGCCCUAUACCCGUUAAGGCAUCAUGGCCUGUACCCGAAACCGACACAGGUGGGGUGGUAGAGAAUACCGAGGGGCGCGAGGUAACUCUCUCUAAGGAACUCGGCAAAAUGGCCCCGUAACUUCGGGAGAAGGGGUGCCACCGCAAGGUGGUCGCAGUGAAGAGGCCCAGGCGACUGUUUACCAAAAACACAGGUCUCCGCUAAGUCGCAAGACGAUGUAUGGGGGCUGACGCCUGCCCAGUGCCGGAAGGUUAAGGAAGCUGGUCAGCGCAAGCGAAGCUAGCGACUGAAGCCCCGGUGAACGGCGGCCGUAACAAUAACGGUCCUAAGGUAGCGAAAUUCCUUGUCGGGUAAGUUCCGACCCGCACGAAAGGCGUAACGAUCUGGGCGCUGUCUCGGAGAGAGGCUCGGCGAAAUAGAAUUGUCUGUGAAGAUGCGGACUACGUGCACCCGGACAGAAAGACCCUAUGAAGCUUUACUGUAGCUUGGUAUUGUGCCCGGGCUCGCAAUGCGCAGGAUAGGUGGGAGGCUUUGAUCAUCGGCUUGCGGGUCGAUGUGAGCCAACGGUGAGAUACCACUCUUUGCGAGCUAGGGUUCUAACGGCCACCCGUCAUCCGGGGGCCGGACAGUACCUGGUGGGCAGUUUGACUGGGGCGGUCGCCUCCUAAAAGGUAACGGAGGCGCGCAAAGGUUUGCUCAGGCUGGUUGGAAAUCAGCCGACGAGUGUAAAAGCAGAAGCAAGCUUGACUGUGACACCAACAAGUCGAACAGGGAGGAAACUCGGCUUUAGUGAUCCGACGGUUCUGAGUGGAAGGGCCGUCGCUCAACGGAUAAAAGUUACUCUAAGGAUAACAGGCUGAUCUCCCCCAAGAGUUCACAUCGACGGGGAGGUUUGGCACCUCGAUGUCGGCUCAUCGCAACCUGGGGCUGAAGUCGGUCCCAAGGGUUGGGCUUUCGCCCAUUAAAGCGGUACGCGAGCUGGGUUCAGAACGUCGUGAGACAGUUCGGUCCAUAUCCGGUGCACGCGCGGGAAUAUUGAGAGGAUUUCUCCCUAGUACGAGAGGACCGGGAGGAACGCACCUCUGGUGUACCAGUUAUCGUGCCAACGGUAAACGCUGGGUAGCCAUGUGCGGAGUGGAUAACCGCUGAAAGCAUCUAAGUGGGAAGCCCACCUCAAGAUGAGUAUUCCCAUGGCGUAAGCCAGUAAGGUCACGGGAAGAACACCCGUUGAUAGGCUCUAUGUGGAAGCGCAGUAAUGCGUGAAGCAGAGGAGUACUAAUAGACCGAGGGCUUGAGC